UACGAAGGGGGCUAGCGUUGUUCGGAAUUACUGGGCGUAAAGCGCGCGCAGGCGGCUAUCCAAGUCAGUGGUGAAAGCCCGGAGCUCAACUCCGGAACUGCCAUUGAAACUGUUUAGCUUGAGGAUGAGAGAGGUGAGUGGAAUUCCCAGUGUAGAGGUGAAAUUCGUAGAUAUCAGGAAGAACAUCGGUGGCGAAGGCGCUCUGCUGGACCAUAACUGACACUCAGGGACGAAAGCUAGGGGAGCGAAUGGG
rnacentral:rRNA from 1 species